rnacentral:rRNA from 1 species
AUUGAACGCUGGCGGCAGGCCUAACACAUGCAAGUCGAGCGGAGCGGCGGACGGGUGAGUAAUGCUUAGGAAUCUGCCUGGUCGUGGGGGAUAACGUCCGGAAACGGGCGCUAAUACCACAUCCUAUCAGAUGAGCCUAGGUCGGAUGAGCUAGUGGGGGGGGUAAAGGCUCACCAAGGCGACGAUCCGUAACUGGGCUGAGAGGAUGAUCAGUCACACUGGAACUGAGACACGGUCCAGACUCCUACGGGAGGCAGCAGUGGGGAAUAUUGGACAAUGGGCGAAAGCCUGAUCCAGCCAUGCCGCGUGUAUGAAGAAGGUCUUCGGGUUGUAAAGCACUUUAAGUUGGGAGGCGUUACCAACAGAAUAAGCACCGGCUAACUUCGUGCCAGCAGCCGCGGUAAUAC